rnacentral:rRNA from 2 species
GGCGGGAUUACCCGCUGAGUUUAAGCAUAUCAAUAAGCGGAG